rnacentral:rRNA from 1 species
AUUGAACGCUGUCGGUGUGCCUAAUACAUGCAAGUCGACCUUAGUGGCGAACGGGUGAGUAACAAGUGGGUAACCUGCCCAUCAGAAGGGGAUAACCCUUGGAAACAGGUGCUAAUACCGUAUACUGAUGGAUGGACCCGCGGUGCAUUAGCUAGUUGGUGAGGUACCGGCUCACCAAGGCCACGAUGCAUAGACGACCUGUGAGGGUGAUUGGCCACAUGGGGACUGAGACACGGCCCAAACGCCGACGGUAGGCAGCAGUAGGGAAUGUUCGGCAAUGGACGAAAGUCUGACCGAGCAACGCCGCGUGAGUGAAGAAGGUUUUCGGAUCGUAAAACUCUGUUGUUAGAGAAGCGGUAUCUAACCAGAAAGCCACGGCUAACUACGUGCCAGCAGCCGCGGUAAUAC